GAUGAACGCUGGCGGUGUGCCUAAUACAUGCGAGUCGAGCGAACAGACGAGGAGCUUACUCCUCUGACGUUAGCGGCGGACGGGUGAGUAACACGUGGAUAACCUACCUAUAAGACUGGGAUAACUUCGGGAAACCGGAGCUAAUACCGGAUAACAUGUUGAACCGCAUGGUUCAACAGUGAAAGACGGUCUUGCUGUCACUUAUAGAUGGAUCCGCGUCGCAUUAGCUAGUUGGUAAGGUAACGGCUUACCAAGGCAACGAUGCGUAGCCGACCUGAGAGGGUGAUCGGCCACACUGGAACUGAGACACGAUCCAGACUCCUACGGGAGGCAGCAGUAGGGAAUCUUCCGCAAUGGGCGAAAGCCUGACGGAGCAACGCCGCGUGAGUGAAGAAGGUCUUCGGAUCGUAAAACUCUGUUAUUAGGGAAGAACAAAUGUGUAAGUAACUAUGCACGUCUUGACGGUACCUAAUCAGAAAGCCACGGCUAACUACGUG
rnacentral:rRNA from 1 species